GACGACUCAGCUGCACCAUAAGCACCCACACGAAUUGCUUGAUUCAUUGAAGAAGACGAUUAGAAGCAGCGCCCGAGUUCGGGUCUGUAGCUCAGUUGGUUAGAGCGCACCCCUGAUAAGGGUGAGGUCGGCAGUUCGAAUCUGCCCAGACCCACCAGUUUACUGGUGAGAUAGCUGGUCAGAGUAGACGCCUCCACGGUAUGUAGAAAUACGGGGCCAUAGCUCAGCUGGGAGAGCGCCUGCCUUGCACGCAGGAGGUCAGCGGUUCGAUCCCGCUUGGCUCCACCACUUACUGCUUCUGUUUGAAAGCUUAGAAAUGAGCAUUCCAUUGAUCCUGAUGAUCAAUGCAUGAAUGUUGAUUUCUAGUCUUUGAUUAGAUCGUUCUUUAAAAAUUUGGGUAUGUGAUAGAAAGAAAUAGACCGGGCACCUCUUUCACUGGUGUGUGUCCGGGCUAAGGUAAAGUUUGUGAAAUGCAAACUUUCGGCGAAUGUCGUCUUCACAGUAUAACCAGAUUGCUUGGGGUUAUAUGGUCAAGUGAAGAAGCGCAUACGGUGGAUGCCUUGGC
rnacentral:tRNA from 1 species